UUGGAGGAAAACAGAUGAUAAAUGCUAGGUUAAAAGGCUUGAAUCAUCUAGUAUGAUGAAUGAGGUUUUGAUUUCAAUGUAGCUAUAUAGACAAAAGGAGCAAUGCACUCUCCAAAAAUCAAAUUUGAAAAUGUCAACAUACUUUUAUAUUUCAAUCUAGCUAUAUAAUGUACAAUAAAUACUUAUUAAAAUUAUCUUUCCAAAGGGAAAUAAACAUACUUAUUAAAAUUAUCGUUCACUCAAAAUUUUCGUAUACCCUGUUGUUACUGCCAACUUCCUUGAUAAUCUGUCAAAAUCAUACACAAAUUAAGGUGGACAAACAGAACAAAAGUGGAGGAUAAUUGACUUACCGAUAUGUUUUUAGUAAAAAAAAAGGAUGCAUAAUACUUUCAUUUUAUUAGUUACAACAUACAAAAUGAAAGUGCAAUUUAUAAUUGGAUAAAGACUUAUAGUUUGAUCUCCUAAUAAGAGUAAAAAGGAAAAUGCAAAGCUUAUUAUAACAUCGUCGUUGUCAAAUUUAAUAUUUUUAUUGUUUGUUUUAAUCAUCAUGAUCGGCGGAAGGGAGCGUGUGAUUGUUUAGAAUUCAAAAUUCAAAAAAAAAAUGGAUUUGACCUAAUUUCAUCUUUAAAUGCUUAAGGAUGUUUAGGUUUGUUGAUUAUUGAAAAUCACAGCAAAAGAGAAAGUAAAAAUAUAUGCAUUUAAAAUUCAUAAAGAAUUACCCAAAUAAUCUUGUAUAUAAUAAUACUACUAAUAAUAAUAAUAAUAAUAAUAAUAAUAAUUAUUAUUAUUAUUAUUAUUAUUAAUUCGUAGCUACCCUUUCAAGUUUGUUAUUGAAAUUUGAUUCUCUCUCCUCUCAUUUCACUCCAUGUUCUAUUUUUGUUCUUUUUCAACUGCCAUUGGUCCCCAAAGAAGAGGGUAAUACUUACAUCAGAUAUUUAACUUUGAAAUUACAAAAAACAAAAUUUAUGACCUUAUAAAUGAAAGAAAUCGAGUUCUAAAAUACAAUCACAAAAACUUGGAUAUGUUUUCAGUUAGUUCAAGUUUCCUCUGUACCUGACCUGAGAUGAGAUGAUGUGGGGAUGACUUCACUAAGCAGAUCCGUUUAAGAGUGUGUAUAGUUGAACUCAUGCUUUUAAUCGAAAUGAAAAGUUAUAUUUUUUUUUUGUAAAAUAGAACCUCACUUCUAGCAAAGAAUAGUCAUAGCAACACAAAAUAAGCAACAAAUUAGCAUACAAACAAAAAAAUGGAGGUAAAAAUACCAAGUCAUGAGCAGAAAUCAAAUUUUCAACCCUCUAUGCCUUAGUUCAUAAAAUCCUUUCCUUACAAAAAUCAGAACAUGUAGCUACCAUUCCUACCUCUAUGUCGAAAGUUGAUGAAAAUGUAAUUUGUGUUCUCUGUGUUGAGAAACCCCGCGAUAAAUAAUAGUUAACCUACUUUAUGCAACUGGAAGUGAUAAUCCAAAAAACCUAAAUGUGCAUAUGAUUUAGAAUGAAGUUGAGAAGCAUUCGAAAUCGAAAGUGAAUACGGAACAAAUUAUAAUAUUCCUCAAUUUGAUAAUAACGUCACAUGAAAACGGAGAGGGGUUUAAUCGAUGAACUUGAGAUGCUUUGUGGUAACUAUAUUUCCUGAUGUAUCGAAGCUUGAAUGAAGAAUCUUUUGAGAGUGGAAGUUCGCAGAGGAAAAUGAACCGUUAGCAUUAUCAUAUCCAAAACCACACAUCCGGAAGGCAGCCUUGCAAUCGGUGAGAUCCAACGGUUUGAGGAGGUUAGGUUGGAGGUGAGAGGCACUAUUUUGUGGUCGUACUGCUCUGUUUUGACAAUUGUGGUCGUAUGGCUCUGUUUCCUUCACCCUUCACCAUGGAUCGGAUGAAGAUUAAUCAAAUGAAGAUGCCAUAAUAUUUUUUUAUUUGAUUAUAUAGAUAAAGGAGAGAUAGGCGGUGGAGAGGUGGGUUGAGCAGAAAAUGUGAGGGGUGGAAAGAAUUGGGUGGAAGGAACUGGAAGGUUGAAGAAUGAUAUCAUCGAGACGUCGAUCAAUGAGCCAAAAGCGAUCAACAGUAUGGAAUAACACCUGUCCAACAUUAUUCUGAAGAACGCAAAGAACACCACCAUGUAGAUGGUGUAGAUGGAACAGAA
rnacentral:lncRNA from 1 species